rnacentral:misc_RNA from 1 species
UACCAACCUCCAUCCGAAC